UACGAAGGGGGGCUAGCGUUGCUCGGAAUCACUGGGCGUAAAGCGCACGUAGGCGGAUCUUUUAAGUCAGGGGUGAAAUCCCAAGGCUCAACCUUGGAACUGCCUUUGAUACUGGGGGAUCUCGAGUCCGGAAGAGGUUGGUGGAACUGCGAGUGUAGAGGUGAAAUUCGUAGAUAUUCGCAAGAACACCAGUGGCGAAGGCGGCCAACUGGUCCGGUACUGACGCUGAGGUGCGAAAGCGUGGGGAGCAAAUAGG
rnacentral:rRNA from 1 species